UGAGCUGAACCUUAAUAUCAAUCUGUAAUAUAUAUGUUGGUCAAGUGAGCACAUUCAUCAAAGCUCAGCAAUCAUCUUCCUUUCUUGUCUGUCUGCAGGUGCAGUGCGGUGGUCAGUUUGCAUAAAGACGCCCCCCUUAGUGACGCCCAUCUCAGUUCAGCACUCUGAUUGCAUUUAUAAUUUCCUGAAGGAAACACACUCAGAAUCUACAGCCACCAUGACUGCACUGGUUCUGCUUUCUGUCUUCAUAGCCUUCAUUCAAGAUUCAGUAUGUCAGAUUUCUGUGAAUCAACCAUCAGCACCAAAGUCAGUUCCUCCUGGAGGGAGCGUCACCUUCACUUGUACUACUGGGAGUAGUGUGGGUGCUGCCAUGGCCUGGUACCAGCAGAGACCUGGACAAACUCCUAAACUACUGAUCUAUAGCGCGAGCACUCGCUAUGGUGACACCCCGAGUCGCUUCAGUGGCAGCGGGUCAGGAACUUCAUUCAGUUUGACCAUUAAUGGAGUGCAGCCUGAAGACGCCGGUCAUUACUACUGUCAGCAGGGCAGCAGCUUACCACACAGUGAUUGAGACUCAUACAAAAAC